AUUAAUAAGAUUGCCCCACCUGAAACAAACAGUCUGCCUUAAUUAGCAAAACCCCAUCUGUCUGGAACAGAAUGCACAAGGUCAGGAGUGUUUGGAAAGCUUAAUUCUGGAGUACACCGAACAUCAAGGCUGAACAAGAUAAUUGCAAAGGACAAAAUUACUCCUUCGAGGCAGUGCAGAAGGUUUAAAAGAAUGCAGCAAUAAUGGUCAAGCAUGAUAAAAUAAUAAUCCGGUCAUUAAACCAAUGGAUUCAGCACUGAUGAAUCGGAAAUUGAGAAACUCCCUCCAGAAUGUCACUGGGGAGCCAUCGUCCUGCCGGUGAAAUGCCUUUGUAUUUAAUCUGCUAAUUAUCCUCCAGAAAGUUCAGGUAGCUGUGUGUCAUUUCAAGGAUGCUGAGGGCCCCAUUCAACACUCAGCUCCACAACGCACAGAUUUCUGUCAUGAGCUAAUGUGAAAUAGCCAAAUGCAAAAAAAUCAUAACACAGAGUGAUAGUGGAAGACAGCAGAAAAAAGUGAAGGUGGUAACAUUCGUGGGUUCCGAAAGUCAGUCAAUCCU
rnacentral:lncRNA from 1 species